rnacentral:rRNA from 1 species
CAAGGCGACGACGGGUAGCUGGUCUGAGAGGACGACCAGCCACACUGGAACUGAGAUACGGUCCAGACUCCUACGGGAGGCAGCAGUGGGGAAUAUUGCGCAAUGGGCGGACGCCUGACGCAGCAACGCCGCGUGCGGGAAGAAGGCUCUCGGGUCGUAAACCGCUUUCAGCAGGGACGAAGCUUCCGGGGUUAAUAGCCUACGGGGUGACGGUACCUGCAGAAGAAGCCCUGGCUAACUACGUGCCAGCAGCCGCGGUAAUACGUAGGGGGCAAGCGUUGUCCGGAUUUAUUGGGCGUAAAGAGCGUGUAGGCGGCUUGGUAGGUCUUGCGUCAAAACCUGAGGCUCAACCUCAGUUCGCGUGGGAAGCCACCUAGCUAGAGUCCGGAAGAGGAGAACGGAAUUCCCAGUGUAGCGGUGAAAUGCGCAGAUAUUGGGAAGAACACCAGUGGCGAAGGCGGUUCUCUGGGACGGUACUGACGCUGAGACGCGAAAGCGUGGGGAGCGAACAGGAUUAGAUACCCUGGUAGUCCACGCCGUAAACGAUGGGCGCUAGGUGUGGGAGGUGUCGACUCCUUCCGUGCCGAAGCUAACGCAUUAAGUACCCCGCCUGGGGAGUACGGCCGCAAGGCUAAAACUCAAAGGAAUUGACGG